CGGCUGAUGACGAUCUAUGCUCAUAAGGGGAACAGAACUAAGAGGCGCAUGCUUGACCCCUUCCUCGGAAUGGGCAAGGUAAGCUUCUAAAGGGUCCUUAUUAUAAGUUUGUAAGAAAGUCUCCUGAACCAGACUUUCAAUCAUGUCAACUUCAUUGAUUUCUUUGUCGUCUGGUGGUUGUUUACUUAUGUUGAAGACAUUAAACUCG
rnacentral:lncRNA from 1 species